rnacentral:rRNA from 1 species
CCUACGGGAGGCAGCAGUGAGGAAUAUUGGACAAUGGGCGCAAGCCUGAUCCAGCCAUGCCGCGUGCAGGAUGACGGUCCUAUGGAUUGUAAACUGCUUUUAUACGGGAAGAAACCCUGGCUCGUGAGCCAGAUUGACGGUACCGUAAGAAUAAGGAUCGGCUAACUCCGUGCCAGCAGCCGCGGUAAUACGGAGGAUCCAAGCGUUAUCCGGAAUCAUUGGGUUUAAAGGGUCCGUAGGCGGUUUAAUAAGUCAGUGGUGAAAGCCCAUCGCUCAACGGUGGAACGGCCAUUGAUACUGUUAGACUUGAAUUAUUAGGAAGUAACUAGAAUAUGUAGUGUAGCGGUGAAAUGCUUAGAGAUUACAUGGAAUACCAAUUGCGAAGGCAGGUUACUACUAAUUGAUUAACGCUGAUGGACGAAAGCGUGGGUAGCGAACAGGAUUAGAUACCCUGGUAGUCCACGGCCGUAAACGAUGGAUACUAGCUGUUGGGAGUAAUCUCAGUGGCUAAGCGAAAGUGAUAAGUAUACCCACCUGGGGAGUUACGUUCGCAAGAAUGAAACUCAAAUGAAUUGACGGCUGAGAGNGCGAGACGACGACGAGGGAGGAGG